UGAACCUCAGGCCACUGUGCUGCCAUCCAGCC
rnacentral:piRNA from 1 species